rnacentral:misc_RNA from 1 species
CAAGAUCUGCUUCUACACCAUGAUUGAGAAGCCUUCUCAUUUGGCAUCGUAUGUUAGAUCUCUACGAUAGCCCCCAUUGUUCUAGUUGAGUUGACCUUUAGGUUUCGAUCGAGAGAAGGGAGAUCUUUCUAUGUUCAAUUGUUGUGCAAUUGAUAGGCAAUUUGUUCUUUAUGUUAUUGGUGAUAGGUGCUGGCUUCAGUCUUUGGCUCAAAAACUCUAGUGAUGAAAAGUUCAGGCUGGUUAGUAGGAUGUUUGUUUCUUUGUUUUCUAAUAUUUGCUGUAACCCUGAGCUAGAGAGCUAGGGUUACAG